rnacentral:rRNA from 1 species
UACGUAGGGCGCAAGCGUUGUCCGGAAUUAUUGGGCGUAAAGAGCUCGUAGGCGGCUUGUCACGUCGAUUGUGAAAGCCCGAGGCUUAACCUCGGGUCUGCAGUCGAUACGGGCUAGCUAGAGUGUGGUAGGGGAGAUCGGAAUUCCUGGUGUAGCGGUGAAAUGCGCAGAUAUCAGGAGGAACACCGGUGGCGAAGGCGGAUCUCUGGGCCGAUACUGACGCUGAGGAGCGAAAGCGUGGGGAGCGAACAGG